rnacentral:rRNA from 1 species
GAGUCCUACGGGACGCAGCAGUGGGGAAUAUUGGGCAAUGGGCGCAAGCCUGACCCAGCAACGCCGCGUGAAGGAAGAAGGCUUUCGGGUUGUAAACUUCUUUUGUCAGGGACGAAGCGAGUGACGGUACCUGACGAAUAAGCCACGGCUAACUACGUGCCAGCAGCCGCGGUAUUACGUAGGUGGCAAGCGUUAUCCGGAUUUACUGGGUGUAAAGGGCGUGUAGGCGGGGAAGCAAGUCAGAUGUGAAAACCAC